rnacentral:misc_RNA from 1 species
GAAAUGCGAUAAGUAAUGUGAAUUGCAGAAUUCAGUGAAUCAUCGAAUCUUUGAACGCACCUUGCGCUCCUUGGUAUUCCUUGGAGCAUGCCUGUUUGAGUAUCAUGAAAUCUUCAAAGUAAAUCUUUUGUUAACUCAAUUGGUUUCUACUUUGGUAUUGGAGGUCUUUGCAGCUUCACACCUGCUCCUCUUUGUUCAUUAGCUGGAUCUCAGUGUUAUGCUUGGUUCCACUCGGCGUGAUAAGUUAUCUAUCGCUGAGGACACUGUAAAAGGUGGCCAAGGUAAAUGCAGAUGAACCGCUUCUAAUAGUCCAUUGACUUGGACAAUACUUUGAUGAUCUGAUCUCAAAUCAGGUAGGACUACCCGCUGAACUAAAGC